rnacentral:rRNA from 1 species
AGAGUUUGAUCCUGGCUCAGAGCGAACGCUGGCGGCAGGCUUAACACAUGCAAGUCGAACGGUCCUUCGGGAUAGUGGCGGACGGGUGAGUAACACGUGGGAACGUACCCUUAGGUUCGGAACAACACAGGGAAACUUGUGCUAAUACCGGAUAAGCCCUUCGGGGGAAAGAUUUAUCGCCUUUGGAGCGGCCCGCGUCUGAUUAGCUUGUUGGUGAGGUAAUGGCUCACCAAGGCUACGAUCAGUAGCUGGUCUGAGAGGAUGGCCAGCCACACUGGGACUGAGACACGGCCCAGACUCCUACGGGAGGCAGCAGUGGGGAAUCUUGCGCAAUGGGCGAAAGCCUGACGCAGCCAUGCCGCGUGGAUGAUGAAGGUCUUAGGAUUGUAAAAUCCUUUCACCGGGGACGAUAAUGACGGUACCCGGAGAAGAAGCCCCGGCUAACUUCGUG